GUGACCAGCACUGAACACUGCCCUCUCAUCAUGAAGUUGUGGCUGAGCUUGAUUUUCCUUGUAACCCUUUUAAAAGGUAUCCAGUGUGAAGUGCAGCUCAUAGAGUCUGGAGGAGGCUUGGCACAGCCUGGGGGUUCCCUGAAACUCUCCUGUGCAGCCUCUGGAUUCACCUUUAGUGAUUUCUACAUGAGCUGGGUCCGCCAGUCUCCUGGGAAGGGGCUGGAGUGGGUUGGUUUUAUUAGAAACAAAGCUAAUAGUUACACAACAGAGUACAGUGCAUCUGUGAAGGGCCGGUUCACUAUCUCCAGAGAUGAUUCCAAAAACACCCUCUACCUGCAAAUGAACAGCCUGAAAGCUGAGGACACAGCCACUUACUACUGUACAAGACACACAGUGCCAGGACCUUAG